rnacentral:rRNA from 1 species
GACGAACGCUGGCGGCGUGCUUAACACAUGCAAGUCGAACGGAAAGGCCCCUUUGGGGGUACUCGAGUGGCGAACGGGUGAGUAACGCGUGAGUAACCUGCCCUUGACUUCGGGAUAACUUCAGGAAACUGGGGCUAAUACCGGAUAGGAAUCCUUGCUGCAUGGUGGGGGUUGGAAAGCUUCGGCGGUUUUGGAUGGACUCGCGGCUUAUCAGCUUGUUGGUGGGGUAGUGGCUUACCAAGGCUUUGACGGGUAGCCGGCCUGAGAGGGCGACCGGCCACAUUGGGACUGAGAUACGGCCCAGACUCCUACGGGAGGCAGCAGUGGGGAAUAUUGCACAAUGGGCGGAAGCCUGAUGCAGCAACGCCGCGGGCGGGAUGACGGCCUUCGGGUUGUAAACCGCUUUCAGCAGGGGCGAAGCUUGUGGUGACGGUACCUGCAGAAGAAGCACCGGCUAACUACGUG